GGGUUGUGAGGUUAAGCGACUAAGCGUACACGGUGGAUGCCCUGGCAGUCAGAGGCGAUGAAGGACGUGCUAAUCUGCGAUAAGCGUCGGUAAGGUAAUAUGAACCGUUAUAACCGGCGAUUUCCGAAUGGGGAAACCCAGUGUGUUUUGACACACUAUCAUUAACUGAAUCCAUAGGUUAAUGAGGCGAACCGGGGGAACUGAAACAUCUAAGUACCCCGAGGAAAAGAAAUCAACCGAGAUUCCCCCAGUAGCGGCGAGCGAACGGGGAGCAGCCCAGAGCC
rnacentral:rRNA from 1 species